GGGGAUUUAGCUCAGUGGCCUAAGUGCCUGCUUUGCAAGCAGGAAGUCAUGAGUUCAAUCCCUG
rnacentral:tRNA from 1 species